AACGAACGCUGGCGGCAGGCUUAACACAUGCAAGUCGAACGAGAUCUUCGGAUCUAGUGGCAGACGGGUGAGGAACACGUGGGAACAUCCCUUUCAGUUCGGAAUAACGUUGGGAAACUAACGCUAAUACCGGAUACGUCCUUCGGGAGAAAGAUUUAUCGCUGAAAGAUUGGCCCGCGUCUGAUUAGCUAGUUGGUGAGGUAACGGCUAACCAAGGCUACGAUCAGUAGCUGAUCUGAGAGGAUGAUCAGCGACAUUGGGACUGAGACACGGCCCAAACUCCUACGGGAGGCAGCAGUGGGGAAUAUUGGACAAUGGGCGCAAGCCUGAUCCAGCCAUGCCGCGUGAGUGAUGACGGCCUUCGGGUUGUAAAGCUCUUUUGUCCGGGAAGAUAAUGACUGUACCGGAAGAAUAAGCCCCGGCAAACUUCGUGCCAGCAGCCGCCGUAA
rnacentral:rRNA from 1 species